UAGGGAAUAUUGCACAAUGGGGGCAACCCUGACCGAGCAACGCCGCGUGAGUGAAGAAGGUUUUCGGAUCGUAAAGCUCUGUUGUAAGUCAAGAACGAGUGUGAGAGUGGAAAGUUCACACUGUGACGGUAGCUUACCAGAAAGGGACGGCUAACUACGUGCCAGCAGCCGCGGUAAUACGUAGGUCCCGAGCGUUGUCCGGAUUUAUUGGGCGUAAAGCGAGCGCAGGCGGUUUGAUAAGUCUGAAGUUAAAGGCUGUGGCUCAACCAUAGUUCGCUUUGGAAACUGUCAAACUUGAGUGCAGAAGGGGAGAGUGGAAUUCCAUGUGUAGCGGUGAAAUGCGUAGAUAUAUGGAGGAACACCGGUGGCGAAAGCGGCUCUCUGGUCUGUAACUGACGCUGAGGCUCGAAAGCGUGGGGAGCGAACAGGAUUAGAUACCCUGGUAGUCCACGCCGUAAACGAUGAGUGCUAGGUGUUGGAUCCUUUCCGGGAUUCAGUGCCGCAGCUAACGCAUUAAGCACUCCGCCUGGGGAGUACGACCGCAAGGUUGAAACUCAAAGGAAUUGACGGGGGCCCGCACAAGCGGUGGAGCAUGUGGUUUAAUUCGAAGCAACGCGAAGAACCUUACCAGGUCUUGACAUCCCGAUGCUAUUUCUAGAGAUAGAAAGUUACUUCGGUACAUCGGUGACAGGUGGUGCAUGGUUGUCGUCAGCUCGUGUCGUGAGAUGUUGGGUUAAGUCCCGCAACGAGCGCAACCCCUAUUGUUAGUUGCCAUCAUUCAGUUGGGCACUCUAGCGAGACUGCCGGUAAUAAACCGGAGGAAGGUGGGGAUGACGUCAAAUCAUCAUGCCCCUUAUGACCUGGGCUACACACGUGCUACAAUGGUUGGUACAACGAGUUGCGAGUCGGUGACGGUAAGCUAAUCUCUUAAAGCCAAUCUCAGUUCGGAUUGUAGGCUGCAACUCGCCUACAUGAAGUCGGAAUCGCUAGUAAUCGCGGAUCAGCACGCCGCGGUGAAUACGUUCCC
rnacentral:rRNA from 1 species